GGGGCCGUGGCGAAAUAGGCAGACGCAACGGACUUAAAAUCCGUUGGGAGCAAUCCCGUGGGGGUUCAAGUCCCCCCGGCCCCA
rnacentral:tRNA from 1 species